UAUAUAUAUAUAUAUGCUAUUAGUACUGUGUAUAUUUCAGUAGAAAUUUUGUAUAAGUUAUUUUAAUAUAAUGUGUAUAUAUUAUAUCAUCUUUAAUUUUGUCAUGUAUGAACGAAAUUAAAAUUCAGGGCAAAUUUCAGAAUGAGCUAAAGUUUAUGUAUUUAUAUUAUAACUUUAUAUAGUUGAAAAAAAUAGCAAAAUUAACUAAUAGUUUGUGAAUUUACAGUCAAUU
rnacentral:lncRNA from 1 species